rnacentral:rRNA from 1 species
GAUGAACGCUGGCGGCGUGCCUAAUACAUGCAAGUCGAACGGACAGACCCUGAGCUUGCUCCUCUCACGUUAGCGGCGGGCGGGUGAGUAACGCGUGGAUCACCUCCCUGUCUUACGGGGAUAACUUCGGAAAACCGGAUCUAAUAGCAGAUGAUAUAUUGAACCGCAGGGUUCAAUGGUAAGAGACGGUUUUGCGGGCACGUAUAGAUGGAUCCGCGCCGGAUGAGCUAGUUGGUAAGGUAACGGCCUACCAAGGCAACGAUGCGUAGCCGACCUGAGAGGGUGAUCGGCCACAUGGGAACUGAGACACGGUCAAGACGCCUACGGGAGGCAGCAGUAGGGAAUGGUCCGCAAUGGGCGAAAGCCUGACGGAGCAACGCCGAGUGAGUGAUGAAGGUCUUCGGAUCGUAAAACCCUGUUAUUAGGGAAGAACAAAUGUGGAAGGAAACAUGGACGUCUUGACGGUACCGAAUCAGAAAGCAACGGCUAACUACGUG